UACGGGGGGGCAAGCGUUGUUCGGAAUUACUGGGCGUAAAGGGCUCGUAGGCGGCCAACUAAGUCGGAUGUGAAUCCCCAGGCUCAACUUGGGAACUGCAUCCGAUACUGGAUGGCUUGAAUUCGGGAGAGGAUGCAGAAUUCCAGGUGUAGCGGUGAAAUGCGUAGAUAUCUGGAGGAAUACCGGUGGCGAAGGCGGCAUCCUGGACCGACAUUGACGCUGAUGAGCGAAAGCUAGGGAGCAACGGG
rnacentral:rRNA from 1 species